rnacentral:rRNA from 1 species
GUCGUAAACCUCUUUUCUCAGGGAAGAAGAUCUUGACGGUCCUUGAGGAUUAACCUUCGGCUAACUCCUGGCCACCACCCGCGGUAAUACGGAGAAUGCAACCGUUAUCCGGAUUGAUUGGGCGUAAACGUCCCGCAGGUGUCUCUGUAAGUCUGCUGUUAAAGAGUGAAGCUCACUUCCAUAAAAGGGAGUGGAAACUGACAGACUAGAGUGCGUACGGGGUCAGAAGGAAUUCCUGGUGUAGCGGUGAAAUUGCGUAGAUAUCAGGAAGAUCACCGCUGGCGAAAGCGUUCU